GCCAAAGUAGUUUAAUGGUAGAACAAUAAUUUCAUGAAUUAAGAAUGAGAAUUCGA
rfam:Neosartorya fischeri NRRL 181 1099437635775 genomic scaffold, whole genome shotgun sequence.